rnacentral:rRNA from 1 species
UACGUAGGGGGCAAGCGUUGUCCGGAAUUAUUGGGCGUAAAGAGCGCGUAGGCGGUCCGAUAAGUCGGCUGUGAAAGUCAGGGGCUCAACCCUUGAAAGCCGGCCGAUACUGUCGGAGUAGAGUCCGGAAGAGGCAAGUGGAAUUCCCGGUGUAGCGGUGAAAUGCGCAGAUAUCGGGAGGAACACCAAUGGCGAAGGCAGCUUGCUGGGACGGUACUGACGCUGAGGCGCGAAAGCGUGGGGAGCAAACAGG